ensembl:lncRNA
GGAGAAGGGGGCCGCCUGACUGUGUCUUCAGGAGGGUCUCAUUACUCCGAAGAGAAUUCGGCUCCUGCUGGAGGGGAAGCCUGUCCAGCCGCAGUGCCUCACCAGAUGGCUCAGCGCAGUUUUCCAGAAUGUGAACAGUGCUAUGAAGGAGAAUGAGCUGAUCCUGAAAAUGGGAAAUAACGCAGCAGAGGACACGAACACUCAUCAGCCAUCUGAGACGGGUGGACGGAAGCAAAAGCCUAGCGCCGGAAGGAAACCUGAGAACGGGCCUGGUUCAUCCCUUGGCUCCCGGACCACACCUAAACCCUUAAAGCCCUUAGGAGUUUACUGGGCUGAAGACCUCCAAAGACAAUGCCUAAUCUGCUUAGAAACUCAGUGUUUCUAAGAAUACCCACUGCCAGGAAGUUCGCCGUUGUGAUGCUGCCCUUGACGUCUCACUCCAGCUG